rnacentral:rRNA from 1 species
UACGAAGGGGGCUAGCGUUGUUCGGAUUUACUGGGCGUAAAGCGCACGUAGGCGGAUCGAUCAGUCAGGGGUGAAAUCCCAGGGCUCAACCCUGGAACUGCCUUUGAUACUGUCGAUCUGGAGUAUGGAAGAGGUGAGUGGAAUUCCGAGUGUAGAGGUGAAAUUCGUAGAUAUUCGGAGGAACACCAGUGGCGAAGGCGGCUCACUGGUCCAUUACUGACGCUGAGGUGCGAAAGCGGUGGGGAGCAAACAGG